AACGAACGCUGGCGGCAUGCCUAACACAUGCAAGUCGAACGAGACCUUCGGGUCUAGUGGCGCACGGGUGCGUAACGCGUGGGAACCUGCCCUUAGGUUCGGAAUAACUCCCCGAAAGGGGUGCUAAUACCGGAUAAUGUCUUCGGACCAAAGAUUUAUCGCCUUUGGAUGGGCCCGCGUUGGAUUAGCUAGUUGGUAGGGUAAAAGCCUACCAAGGCGACGAUCCAUAGCUGGUCUGACAGGAUGAUCAGCCAAACUGGGACUGAGACACGGCCCAGACUCCUACGGGAGGCAGCAGUGGGGAAUAUUGGACAAUGGGCGAAAGCCUGAUCCAGCAAUGCCGCGUGAGUGAUGAAGGCAUUAGGGUUGUAAAGCUCUUUUACCCGGGAUGAUAAUGACAGUCCCGGGCGAAUAAGCUCCGGCUAACUCCGUG
rnacentral:rRNA from 1 species